UUUAUCUGAUUAGUGUACCAAAUUCAAUUGGAACUAUAUCAGAUCUAUGAAAUUAUUGAUUAUUGAUACAUGCAGGUUAUGUGUGAUCCUUAUACACCAGCUGGUGUUCCAAUUCCAACCAACAAGAGGCACAACGCUGCUAAAAUUUUCAGACACCAAUCGUUGCCUCCGAGGAGCCUUGGUAUGCUCAUCUUCUUGUUUUUUGGCUAUACAUAUUAUUUUCGUUACUAUAAAUUCUAAUAGUGUUUGUUUUUUUAAACGAUUGUAUGUUUUGGAUGAAUGAAAGCAACCACGAUGCAUGAAGAAGAUUCAGUUCGAAAGAUUCAUAUAAAUUGGACUAUUGCUACAAAAAAAACAGAAUCACAGUUUUAAUUCUAUCAAAGGAGAUAAAGCCUCUUAUCUCUACUGUCUUUGAGGGUAAAGAUGCUAAUGUCAUCGCCCACGGAGCAAGAAAUUGCGGAAAAACAUAUCUCAUACAUGUAUUGAAAGCAAUCUCAUUAAGGUAUUGAUUAUCAGACAUGAUACUAUAGAUGAAAAAUGCUAAUUAUUGUAUCGCAUGGUUUGUAGGGAAAUGAUUAUGCUCUGACGCUCAAAGGAAACAGACACCUUUGACUGUGUCUGCUACUUCUAGAAAACAGACAGUGCUAAGGGGAAAUGUGACAGAGAGAAAAGACUAAAAUCAAAGCAAGGUAAAUCUUUCAGAAACAACUUUGUAUCAACUCUAAGCCUCAAUAUCCAUGAUAUACCUGCAUCUGCUCUGUUGUUCAGUUUUAGAACAUCAAAUAAUGAUGAUUUUUUUUCUCAAUGUUUGAAGGAAACUGUUCCGCGAAGCAAACGAUUCAGUGAAAUGUAAAAAUAGCAUUUUGGAAAAUUUAAUUAAUACGUCAUGAAGUGGAAUAAUCUAGAUUCUUCCUUUACAAAGAGGUAAAACAGAGGGUAUAGAAACAGAGACUAAGAGACCAAGAGUCUUAAUUAAGGAGGUUUGGUAUACCACUUAACCCUAAUCAAUCCACUACUUACUUGAUAAAGACAUAUUCUCAUCAUGUAUAUUUGAUUAGAUUAGCUAGGCUCGUAAUAUGGGACAAAACCCCGAAGAUGAGCAAGAAAUGCUUUGAAAGAUUUUAUCGUAGCAUGAGUGUCAUAUCUGCACCCUUCAGUGCUCCCUUGUAAAAUCAAAGUAUCUGAGUAUAGAUACUUAAUAGGUUUAAGUGUUCUUCGAUCUUGGACGAUAUGUUCCAACUUAUACUGAUACAGAGGGUCACGACAUACAUACUAUAAUUGAUAGAGAGUAUUAUCGUCACCGUGGAUUCAGGUUUUUCCAAGGACGAUAGAUACAUGGCCGGCCCUAUAGACAUCAACAAGAAACUUUUACUGUAACCCAAAUUUUGUUUCUGAAAUUCUUCAACAAAAAUUAUUUAUGAAACGGAC